UCACACUCAGGGAAAGAUGACUACACAGAGCUCUACACAAGGGGCAGCAUUUGGGGCCCGUGGUAGAGUUCUAUCUACCUGCCAAAUGAAGUAAACACAUGUUUAGCAACUUGAGAUCUCUGUGAAGUAAAUAUCACCAAAUAAACCCAGCCGCUCCAAGCAAGAAGAAAGCUCAGAGUAUGAUAAUCAAAUGUCAAGGGUGCAACUCGAAAUGUAACGUCAUACAGAGCUCUCAGAUGAGCAGAAGUCCACUGUGUAUCUGCACCGCAUUUUCAUUACCUGUUCACCGUCGGUAGACAUUGGGGCUGUUUUUGUGCUUCCUGGCUGCUAGGAAGAGAGCAGCAAUGAGCACAGACGAAAAGGCCUCCUCAAGUUCCACCUA
rnacentral:sRNA from 1 species